GAUGAACGCUGGCGGCGUGCCUAAUACAUGCAAGUCGAGCGAACAGACGAGGAGCUUGCUCCUCUGACGUUAGCGGCGGACGGGUGAGCAACACGUGGAUAACCUACCUAUAAGACUGGGAUAACUUCGGGAAACCGGAGCUAAUACCGGAUAAUAUAUUGAACCGCAUGGUUCAAUAGUGAAAGACGGUUUUGCUGUCACUUAUAGAUGGAUCCGCGCCGCAUUAGCUAGUUGGUAAGGUAACGGCUUACCAAGGCGACGAUGCGUAGCCGACCUGAGAGGGUGAUCGGCCACACUGGAACUGAGACACGGUCCAGACUCCUACGGGAGGCAGCAGUAGGGAAUCUUCCGCAAUGGGCGAAAGCCUGACGGAGCAACGCCGCGUGAGUGAUGAAGGUCUUCGGAUCGUAAAACUCUGUUAUUAGGGAAGAACAAAUGUGUAAGUAACUAUGCACGUCCUGACGGUACCUAAUCAGAAAGCCACGGCUAACUACGUG
rnacentral:rRNA from 1 species